GUGGUCUCGCUUUGACAGCACAUAGACUAAAAUUGGAACAAUACACAGAAGAUUUGCAUGGCUGCUGAGCAAGGAUGACGUGCAAAUUCAUUAAGUGAUCCAUAUUUUA
rfam:Chaetura pelagica isolate M959 contig13616, whole genome shotgun sequence.